rnacentral:lncRNA from 1 species
AUUUUUUUGACAAUUUGCAGACCAUAUGUUAUGGUUUGUUUAGGGUUCCUCAAUGUCAAAAGAUAUCACAUCUACAGAACAUACAAAGUGAUUUAGUUUAAAAUUCAAUGUUGCCCAUUUUUUAAAAGCACGUGUAGUAAUAAUAAAUAAUGCAAUGACCCUAUCUACUAUCCCCACUCUUUUUUUCCUUUUUUUUGGGGGGGGGAGAGACGGUCCCUUGAAAAACUUUUUUCAACUUUCAUAAAAAAAAAUCUUGUUCAAUAAAAUGCAUUUACUGCAGAAAAAAACUUGGGUUUGUCUUAUAAAAGUUAAGAGUCAAAGCAAUUUAUUUGUAUAAAAACAAAAUUCCUCGAUAAAAGAUGACUGUUCAAUGCAUAAAGCUUCAAUCAGAGUUUCCCCAACUUUAAUUAAUUUGUAUAUUCAAAUUAAACAUAUAACCUGUAGAUGUACAUUGUAUUACACAAUGUUUACAUGAUUUUGUUCUUUGGAAAACUUCAAUGUUAAAGGAAAACCCAUUUGAGAGUCUCUUGAAAAAAUUUUACAGUUUGAAUUAAUUGUUUAAGGUGGUACCCAACACUACAGGGAGAUAACUCUGUAAAAUCAGCUAAAUAUUUUAAUCAUGGAAAGAUUAUUAUGAGCUUCUAAAUGAUCUAAAUUAGUCAUGUUAGUGAUUGUCAAACUGCUCUAUAUCCAAUGAAAAAUGAUUGGUUCAAGUUUUUUGAAAAUUUUAUAUUUUUUUCAAACGGUCAAAGUAAAUAUUUUGUCAAAAAUUUUAUGAAAAUUAAACGAGCCAAAUUAAUUUAGUCAAGGUGUUGAAUACCACCUUAAGAUAAUUCAACCAUGAUAUUUUGUGCAGAUACAUGCUUAAUGUUUAAGAACAUAUGUUGACCUUUUGACCUAAGUUAUCAUUUG